rnacentral:misc_RNA from 1 species
GUCAAUGGGGAGCUAGACACCCAGAACUUUAUGAAAUUUGAUGAAAUGGAUCCUCCACCAGCAAGAACUGGCUCUGGACCAUCAAGGAAGAUGCUAUUAACUCCCAAAGAUUUAAGUUUUGUUGGCUAUACAUACAAGAAUUUUGAUGCUGUCAAAGGGCUGCAGCAUUCUUUUGGUGGUUCCGGGGCAGAUUAUCCUACAAAACGGCCUGGCGAGGAAACAGAGGUGCAAAUGCUUGCAUCAUCAGGUGAUCCCAUGCUACCAUAAUAUAACAAAACCAC